UACGUAGGGGGCAAGCGUUAUCCGGAUUUAUUGGGUGUAAAGGGCGUGUAGGCGGGAAUGCAAGUCAGAUGUGAAAACUCAGGGCUCAACCCUGAGCCUGCAUUUGGAACUGUAUUUCUUGAGUGCUGGAGAGGCAAUCGGAAUUCCGUGUGUAGCGGUGAAAUGCGUAGAUAUACGGAGGAACACCAGUGGCGAAGGCGGAUUGCUGGACAGUAACUGACGCUGAGGCGCGAAAGCGUGGGGAGCAAACAGG
rnacentral:rRNA from 1 species